GUGGGGAAUUUUGGACAAUGGGCGCAAGCCUGAUCCAGCAAUGCCGCGUGCAGGAAGAAGGCCUUCGGGUUGUAAACUGCUUUUGUACGGAACGAAACGGUCCUGGCUAAUAUCCGGGGCUAAUGACGGUACCGUAAGAAUAAGCACCGGCUAACUACGUGCCAGCAGCCGCGGUAAUACGUAGGGUGCGAGCGUUAAUCGGAAUUACUGGGCGUAAAGCGUGCGCAGGCGGUGCUGUAAGACAGGCGUGAAAUCCCCGGGCUCAACCUGGGAAUUGCGCUGGUGACUGCAGUGCUGGAGUGCGGCAGAGGGGGAUGGAAUUCCGCGUGUAGCAGUGAAAUGCGUAGAUAUGCGGAGGAACACCGAUGGCGAAGGCAAUCCCCUGGGCCUGCACUGACGCUCAUGCACGAAAGCGUGGGGAGCAAACAGGAUUAGAAACCCGGGUAGUCC
rnacentral:rRNA from 1 species